AACAAACAAACAAACAAGGAAAAAAUAAUUUUAUAGAAACAGAGAAUUGAAUGAUCUUUUCCUGUAAGGAUUUGAGAACCCAGCAAAGAGAAAGAGUUAAGCCUGUUCUCCUAGUUGGCAGAAACUUUGUAGUUUAAAAUUACAUACUGACUCUGGUGUAGAGACACAAGAAAUUAUAGAGCAGACACUGUCCAGGACAACGUAUAAUUUACAAUGUACUAAAGAAUGUAUACCGCAUGGCAAAGCUUUGAUUGCCAAGAUUUCCAAGCAUGGAUAACUGAAGAAGUUUGCUUGACUUGACUUCAGCACAAAUGAAUUCUUUAAAAAAUGGUUUGGAUAGAUAUAGCCUCACAUACAGAAAAAUUUAACCAAUUUCAGAGAAUAAAUCAAUAGAGCAUGGCAGGAAAAGCCUAUGAGGUCUCUGCAACUAUGAGAACUUUUUAUAAAAAAUAUUGAAGUCAUUUUAAACCAUAGUUUACUUCAUUAUUGGUUUAGAGUAGGUAAUAUGGACUGAUUCUGUGCUAUUGUUUGCCUAGAUGACUAGAUUGUCAGUUUUAAUUAGCUUUUGUUUUUCUUAAAGGCUAAUUGCUUUUACAAAACUCAAGGUUUCUUGAUUGCUAAUGACAGGAGUAAUAAGUAAUAUGGUUACAUACUUUUAAAAGAAAAUUCACAAGCCUAUCUAA